GAUUAACGCUGGCGGCAUGCCUAAUACAUGCAAGUCAAACGGGGUUAUAGCUUGCUAUAACCUAGUGGCGAACGGGUGAGUAACACGUAGGCAACUUGUCCUAAAGACGAGGAUAACAGUUGGAAACGACUGCUAAUACUGGAUAGUAUACAUUUUCGCAUGAAUUUGUAUUUAAAGAUGCGUUUGCAUCACUUUAGGAGGGGCCUGCGGCGCAUUAGCUAGUUGGUGAGGUAACGGCUCACCAAGGCGACGAUGCGUAGCUGCGCUGAGAGGCGAAACAGCCACAUUGGGACUGAGACACGGCCCAA
rnacentral:rRNA from 1 species